CUGACAAGUCAUCUUUGGGGAUCUUAAUCAUUGCUGGAGGACCAUUAACCUACAACGUGGCUGCCCAUGCCACUUUGAAAGUAUUUCCCCUGCUGAAAGAAUACUGCAUGCAAUAAAUGAGGAAAUGGAUUUUACUGAUUCUGAUGUUCCAGAUGCUCAAACAUCUCAUCUAAGAAAACCUGC